GGGGCCGUAGCUCAGUUUGGGAGAGCGUCGCGUUCGCAAUGCGAAGGUCGUGGGUUCGAUCCCCAUCGGCUCCACCA
rnacentral:tRNA from 1 species